rnacentral:rRNA from 1 species
GACGAACGCUGGCGGCGUGCUUAACACAUGCCAGUCGAACGAAGAGCGACGGAAGCUUGCUUCUAUCAUUCUGAGUGGCGAACGGGUGAGUAACGCGUAAUCAACCUGCCCUUCAGAGGGGGACAACAGUUGGAAACGACUGCUAAUACCGCAUACGAUCUAACCUCGGCAUCGAGGAGAGAGGAAAGGUGGCCUCUACAUGUAAGCUAUCACUGAAGGAGGGGAUUGCGUCUGAUGAGCUAGUUGGAGGGGGAACGGCCCACCAAGGCGAUGUACAGUAGGCGGACUGAGAGGAGGAACGGCCACAUUGGGACUGAGGCACGGCCCAGACUCCUACGGGAGGCAGCAGUGGGGAAUCUUCCGCAAUGGAGGAAAGGCUGACGGAGCAACGCCGGGGGAGUGAUGACGGCCCUCGGGUUGGAAAGCUCUGUUAAUCGGGACGAAAGGCCUUCUUGCGAAUAGGGAGAAGGAUUGACGGUACCGGAACAGAAAGCCACGGCUAACUACGUG